GUGCUCAUUCCGUAGCGGACUGCCGCAUCGAACGGACGUGAAAUCUGAACGGAUUGUCGAAAAAGCGACACGCCGCAGUCAAAAAUAAAAAAACAAAAAAAAAGAUACACACACUGAUACGCACUUGUGAAAAAGCGCGACGUGUAUGCAGUUUUCCAGUCGACAGUAGCCCAAAUUCGGAGACUCAGCCGCAGCGAUCAUCGUCGCGGUGACAGCAGAUCGAGAGGGAACUCAUUGAUACAUCGACGUUGUCAACGUUACACAGGUCGAGAUUCAACAAUCGGCGAUAUCAACCAGCGAUUUUGGCAGAUUUGCGUGAAUCGCCGCCUAACGAGAUUCGCGGGAGAGGAAAAAAAGAAUCGUCAAUUUCGGACACGCCGAGACAGUGAAGAUCGUCUCUCCCUGGCGCGGCGAAGUGUCCCGUGCGCGUAGAACUUUCUAGAGCCAACGAGAGAGGAAAAAAGUGAAGGAGAAGAAGAGGGAACGAGCGGACGAGACGACGUACAGAAGCGGGACAGUGAGUUGCGCGGAGCCGAGACGGGAAGAGGGACAGAGUUAGAGCAUACACGCACGCCGGCACCCCAGACGAGAUGGCGUUUAUGAUGCCUGUGGUGAAAAACGAAUUUGACAUUUACAAGACUAAUCGCAGCCGGCGCUCGUCCGAGUGCUCGAAUCCGCAGGCCUGUCGCAGCAGGAAGGUCUGGCGAACUAGCAGACACAACCGUCUCGCAAAGUGCGGCACACCUGAUCGCCCUCCCGUCUCGAUUCUCAUGGUAUCCGAGUGCUCCAAGUCGGAGGGCCCGUCGCUGUCGACUUCACCCGGUUCCGACUUCCUGACCUCGCCGGCGCACCGGUCUGUACCGCUUAGCUCGCGGCAUUUCUCGCGGACGUCAUCGCGCGCGUCGCAAAGCUCUCUGCAGAGCCCGAGCAAGAGUACGGGCACGUCGCCGCCGAAGACCGGCAGUUCGAGUUCCCUCAACAAGUUCCACAACCGGCUGGUCGACAAGCUGAAGCGCUCGCUGAAGAAGGCGGACGACUGCGCAGAGGAUCAGCGUAAUCUAUCGUGAAACAGCCAAGGGGUUUUGGGCCGGCCGCCCGUGUCCGGCUCGAAACCGAUCGAGAUCCGACGCACCUCGGCACCCGCUACCACAUCCGAGUCGAGCAGUAACGUGGCGGCACGCUCGUGUCCGGAUCCGUCUUCAGCUUGGUAGAGGGCAAGGUAGAGAGAAAGGAAGAAAGAGAGAGGAAGCAACAGCAAUGAAGAAUAUGUAUGCGGGACUGAAACAUCAAGAGAAAGGAAGAAUGCGCGUGCAUAUGACGGAAUCGGCGGGAGCAAGAAGAGGGGGGAGGGUGGAAAGAAAAUCGGACGUCGCGCGUUCACCUCGAGAAGGAUGUUCGAAAGCGAACGCGUUCGAGUUUAUAAGUCUAAGAGGACGAGAGGAUGGGCGGUUAUAACGAUCCUCGAACCGUCGGCUCGAUGUCGACGGUCGGUCACGUCAAGGAUCCUCUCACGAAUCGAGAUACACCUCAAUGGAGGAGUUGCCGACUUAGCCGGCGCUCAUGGAAGGAUGAACGCGGCGCUCUUGAGAUGUUCCUUUCGAGACGGAUUACGUUUUUAAAAAUGACAUCCGAUUCUCCGACGAUCGCAUCGAAAGUCUACGCGCAUUCUGCGGGAACGAAGAGGCGGAAACUCCCACAUAUCCAAAAUUAAAUCGCAGUAAUUAAAUAUUAAACAGAAGAUCUGACUCCAACGUGAGCACCGCCGGAAGCUUUCGACGGUUUAAAGAAGUAAAGCUCGAUCGAACGUUGUGCAAACAUCUUAGCGUUCGAAAAAUACGUUGGACUUUUGUGGAAAAUCGCCAAAUAACAAUUGGAAGGAUAAUUUUGAACAAUUGAAAUAUUGACGAAGCGAUAGCAACACGCGAAGAUAUCGCCAGGAGUUCGCCGUCGGGUUCUCCUUUCCACCGAGAAGUCAUCGCGAGAGUCGCGAAAAUCGCAGCGGACGGAUCUGGAUUGUGUCCAAUCAGUAGGUUGCAACCGCCACCCACUACGUUUUCUCCGAUUUACCAUCAUCUAAGAGAUUAAAAAAAAAAAAUGAUCAGUCUCGCGGCUUCCUCGUCAUCCGGAUUAAUCUCCGCGCUCGCGCGAAGUUCUCGCGGAUAAAUCUGAGAAUCUGUUUAGGAUGGCGAGAGAAAGAAGCGGAAGAGAAGGAGGAAGGAAGCAGGGGGAAGAGAGCAGGUCGCGACGGAGCCUCCGAGAGUCCACCAUCAGGGGGUCAAAGGCCAAGCGUUGGACGAAGCAGUGGCCAGGAAGCGAGCACCAAAACGGAGAACAAUAACGACGCUCGCUCGUUCAUUGUGUCGUUCGAGUCAGCAUCGAGUUUGCGUGCCGGAUGCAAGCAGUUUCCCGUCUUCGCGGGACCGGCGUCUUCGCAUGGGAAGAGGAAACUGCGCGAAGUGGUUUAGGGGCGCGAAUGAACGUGCGUAUACGUCGAGUCAGACCGCGAGCGAAUGAAGCCUAAGAGAGAAGCGACUUAUUCUCACGACUGUAUACCGCGCUAUUCGACGUCGCAAAGAGUUAGUUGUACUCGCGUAUUCGCCUUCUGCGAAUUAGUUUUUCGUAUCUCCCUUCUAUAUCGCGUUAAUCUCCGCUGGAAAUCACGGCGAGACAAUACGAACGUCGCCUUUCGCAUACAACCGACGCGUCGAUUAACAUGCAUUAACGUCCGAAUAGAAGGCCUUUGUUCAAAAAAUAGAACUCUAGAUAACGCAAAACUCAUUGCGUGAAAAUAUCGUUGACUUUAAAAGAGUUUCUUUGAAAACAAAUCAAGAUAAAUCGGGUUAUUUCAAAAUAAAUGUUCUAGCAAUGUUUUUAUAAAGACAUUAAUUUGGCACAAUGUUUUUUCAAGGCAGUGAGAAAUGUAUCGAACAGUUUGCAAUUGUCGACGCGUAUCUUACUGACGACAUUGCUAUUUCGUCCACGUUGAAGCGUUGCGAUAGUGGUGCUAAUAUACGUGACGGGGGAGUAUGAUAAAUGCAUCCGGUACCAUUAACGCACUCUGCGGUGUACGCGUUGUUGUACGCAAAAGGCACGAUUCGCUGAGACGUUAUCGUUUCCGGAGAUUUCCACUUUUGUCAGAUCGGGGCACUCGCGUGUGCUGGCCGAAGAUAUUUUCUUAAACGAACUGUCACUCAUCAUACACACAUACAUACCCAUCUACACAUGUACACAUGCCAUCGAAGCUGUAAAACAACGUUUUUCCCGAGGUGCAUCCUCGCGAAUUUCGAGUUAUUUCGUAUAUUUGUUAUUUCGCGUCGUCGCUACGGAGCGCUUGUUAAUUUUUUCAUGUAAUAUAUAAUAUAUAUAGUGUAUUAUUUUGUUGUAAGACGAGUCGAUCGGAGGGAAGGAGGUGCGGAAGGGAACGUGUGUCCUUGGUCGCACGUGCAAAGGACGUCGAGUGUUACAAGGAAGGAGCACCGCUUCCGUCAUGAGAGAUUUCUCUUGAGAGAGAUACUUCUUUUUAUCUGAGACGUAUCAAUUUGAAAAGUUAUGACCUUAAUAAAUGAGAAAAAUGUAUCAUUCGUAUUGGUUAAUUGAUUAAAUAAAUGAAACUUUUUAAUUAAUUUUGGCUGACUCGAUUUUUAAUUUUUCUAAUUAAAUAUUUCUUUCAAAAUCUUAGAACUUGCUAUGAAAAGAAGAAUGUUUAUUUCGGUUAACAUUAAAUUGUUAAAUUUCUAAAUUAAAAAUAUCAUUGAGCAAAGUUAAAAAAAUGCAAUAUAAAUUUUUAAAAAAUAAAAAAUGGCAAAUAACAUCUUUUCAACACGAAAAUUGUAAAUUUAAUUUUAUAUAUAUUACAUGACAAGUUAAUUUGAUAGUCCAAGUCCGAUUCCAAUUUAGACAGCAAUUUUUCUCAGAGCCAUUCGUUCUCAUAAGAUUGCAACACCUUGACGUCCUUCGCAUCCGUCUACAGUUGUCCUGGUUUUCCGCGCGGAGGAUGUAGUGGUUUGCGCGCUUUCUUUCUAUCGGUUGCGUAUCGGGGAUUACGAACUGGGAGCAAUUAAGCGAUACCGCGUGUAACUCUGUGAUACCGUAAGCUAUAAGGUAGAAUUACUCUGCAACGAUUAAGUCGGAUUAGAGAAGAGAAUGGCGUUUAUGCGUGAGGAGAUAUACGUAGUUAGGACGAGACACGAACGCUUUGAUUAUCCAUCGAUUGCAGACUCGCAUUCUUCGAAAACCGAAAUGACAAUGAUUUUGAUUCUUGGUUGGCACGAAAUAACACGAGAGUGCUCCAGUAAGAGUCCAGUGAUUUUUUUUCUCCGGAAAGAAAAUGAGCGUUUGCUUUUCGAACCUUGUCGAGAAGGACGAAUUCCGGUGCACGAGCAUUUGAAGUCGUUUACGUCCGUCUUAACGUGUACAUAAAAUAUUAAGAGGCUGAAAAUCCGAAAGCGUCUGUCGAUUAUCAUCUGGCUGAGACCUCGAGAGAAAAUCGUACAACAAGCUAUAUAUAAAUUUUUUUGUCAAAAGUGCAAACAGGUUUCGCGAGUAUAAUUAUUCGGCGUGGAAGCCAGUUUAAUUCGACUUAAUAACUGCUGAAAGAUGUAAAAUCUUUUCUCUCGAAUUCAUUAAACUGCAAGAACGUCGAUUAGCAUAUGUCGAUUCGCGCUUUCGGACUCACAUCGGAUUUAAGAGAAAGCUUAGUCGGUAGACACGCGGAAAAUUUUGAAAAUUUGCAUAGCUCAACCUGCAUUUCUUCGGGUGCAGAUGGCGGAGGGACGAGAAUACGGAAAAGGGAAAGAGAGGGAGAAAGAAAGAGAGAAAAAUUGGAAGAGAGAAAGACAGAGAACUGUUUGCGAACAUCAGUUAAUAAAGAAAUCAUUUUGUGAAGGUGCGUACCGAAUAAUUUCCAAAAGUUGCCGCUUUAUGUAAGACUGCUUUAGUGAAAAAAAAAACAGA